UAGAUAUUUGCACACCCAGGUUCAUGAAGGCAGUGUUAUUCAAAAUAGCCAAAGGUGGAAGCAACCCAGUGUCUGCUGAAAGAUGAACAGAUUACUGAAACGGUGUAUACACGGACACUGGGCUAUGAUUCAGCGUUCAAAAGGAAGGAGAUUCUGACAUGCUACAAUAUGGAUGAAACUUGAAGACAUUAUUCUAAGUUAUAUAAACCAAUCAUCUGGGACCAGAAGGGAACCCCAUUCAACAGUGGACUGGAAGUUUGUAACCAACCACACUGCCAAUCAUGUGUGACUGCAAGGACCCAGGAAGUCUGUCUGCCACGUGCCUCUCGGGAACCGCUGGAUAAUGUGCUCCAGAAGAACAAGAACACAGCACAUAACAGAUACGGUAAAUCCAAAAUAGAAAAAUGUCAGAAGUACAUUCUAAAGCAAGAACAAAAAACAAAAUCGACACAGGAAGAAAUAAUUAUGAAAUAGUUUUGGUCUCUGCAAUUUUAUAUAGGCAAUAAUGUAAACACUGAAUAAAAUUGUGUUAAGG